GACGAACGCUGGCGGCGUGCCUAAUACAUGCAAGUCGAACGCAGUGGGGACGGGUGAUUAACACCUGGGUAACCUCCCAUCAGAGGGGAUAACACUUGGAAACAGGUGCUAAACCGAUACUGAUGGAUGGACCCGCGGUGCAUUAGCUAGUUGGUGAGGUAACGGACCACAUAGGCCACGAUGCAUAGCCGACCUGAGAGGGUGAUUAGCCAAACGGGGACCGAGACAUGGCCGAGACCCCUACGGGAGGCAGCAGUAGGGAAUCGUCGGCAAUGGACGAAAGUCUGACCAAGCAACGCCGCGUGAGUGAAGAAUGUUUUCGGAUCGUAAACCUCUGUUGUUUGAGAGGCGGUAUCUAACCAGAAAGCCACGGCUAACUACGUGCCAGCCGCCGCGGUAAUAC
rnacentral:rRNA from 1 species